rnacentral:rRNA from 1 species
UUCGUCCUACGGGGCGCAGCAGUAGGGAAUCUUCCACAAUGGACGAAAGUCUGAUGGAGCAACGCCGCGUGAGUGAAGAAGGGUUUCGGCUCGGAAAGCUCUGUUGGUAGUGAAGAAAGAUAGAGGUAGUAACUGGCCUUUAUUUGACGGUAAUUACUUAGAAAGUCACGGCUAACUACGUGCCAGCAGCCGCGGUAAUACGUAGGUGGCAAGCGUUGUCCGGAUUUAUUG